rnacentral:rRNA from 1 species
UACGUAGGGAGCAAGCGUUGUUCGGAUUUACUGGGCGUAAAGGGCGCGUAGGCGGCGCGGUAAGUCACUUGUGAAAUCUCUGAGCUUAACUCAGAACGGUCAAGUGAUACUGUCGCGCUAGAGUGCGGAAGGGGCAAUCGGAAUUCUUGGUGUAGCGGUGAAAUGCGUAGAUAUCAAGAGGAAUACCUGAGGUGAAGACGGGUUGCUAGGCCGACACUGACGCUGAAGCGCGAAAGCCAGGGGAGCAAACGGG